AGUUAAAAAACCCAACCUUUUUCACGAAAGACAAACAGUUUGAGAACCUUUCUCUCUCAUUAACCUUGUUAAGGAUACUUUCCCAUUUUUAGAAAUGAAAAAGGCAAGGCGUUGGCCGGAAAACGUAUUCCUCUGCCUUCUAUGACUGUUUCAGAUUCAGUCAGAGAGGAUACUGGCCCAUGUUGAUUCAUUGGAGACGAAGACAGAAGGAUCAGUGGGUCAUAAGAGGGUCCAUUAUACACGUGAUAUUUAACUGCCUGCAUGCUUUUUAGGGAGAAGAGAUAUGAUGGGGAUUGUGUCGGCCCCGUUUUGGGGCCACUCUUUACAGGUUAAGGAGCAAGAAGAGCGAACAUGGGGCUGACAGCUUUGUGGUGGCACUCAACGCCUACUGUUCAUCUAUCGAUUUCCACAGGUUUGAAACCCAGGUUCCCAACAAUUUGUCAAGUUUGAAAGAUUCGAUCUGCUUAUAUUGUUAUCUACCCUUAAAAUAAAAUCUGAGUGCAAUUAUGGCUUUUUCCCUUUCUGUUGCAAUUUGUAUGUGAGAACCAAUGAAAGUAAUACAAAUUUCAGGGAAAAGCAUCUUUCCCCUCUUUCAUUUAUGCUGCUACAAAUGGAAAAUUCAAGACUUUAA